GACGAACGCUGGCGGCGUGCUUAACACAUGCAAGUCGAGCGGUAAGGCCCUUUCGGGGGUACACGAGCGGCGAACGGGUGAGUAACACGUGGGUGACCUGCCCUCAGCUCUGGGAUAAGCCUGGGAAACUGGGUCUAAUACCGGAUAUGACUUCGCAUCGCAUGGUGUGGGGUGGAAAGUUUUCGGCUGGGGAUGGGCCCGCGGCCUAUCAGCUUGUUGGUGGGGUGAUGGCCUACCAAGGCGACGACGGGUAGCCGGCCUGAGAGGGCGACCGGCCACACUGGGACUGAGACACGGCCCAGACUCCUACGGGAGGCAGCAGUGGGGAAUAUUGCGCAAUGGGCGGAAGCCUGACGCAGCGACGCCGCGUGGGGAUGACGGCCUUC
rnacentral:rRNA from 1 species